CACGUAGGGCGCGAGCGUUGUCCGGAAUUAUUGGGCGUAAAGAGCUCGUAGGCGGCCUGUUGCGUCCGCUGUGAAAGCCCGGGGCUUAACCCCGGGUCGGCAGUGGAUACGGGCAGGCUAGAGGUAGGUAGGGGAGAAUGGAAUUCCCGGUGUAGCGGUGAAAUGCGCAGAUAUCGGGAGGAACACCGGUGGCGAAGGCGGCUCACUGGACCAUUACUGACGCUGAGGCACGAAAGCUAGGGGAGCAAACAGG
rnacentral:rRNA from 1 species